UUGGCCACCACCUACGAUCCAGAAUGUGUUGUAACCAAAAGAUUUCAAUUUUGAUAUAGAUUUCAUCAAUAUAAAAACUUUUUGGAUCAUAGAUGGAGGCCAAGGUUAAUUAUGCCAAAAACAAUUAAAAUUAUGGACAAAAAGUACCAAAAUUGACCUUUUAAUACAAAUUAUGCUCAUUUAAGGGAUCAUUGCUCCAUAAAUAGUAAAGGAAAGUGCCAGAAAAAAAUAUGUUUGUCUUAGUAGUAUUAUCACAAGUAUUUCUAUGUGACAUUUGUAUUUGUUUGC
rnacentral:lncRNA from 1 species